rnacentral:rRNA from 1 species
AAGAAGAGAUUUCCCAACUUCGGUUAUAAGAUCCCUCAAAGAUGAUGAGGUUAAUAGGUUCGAGGUGGAAGCAUGGUGACAUGUGGAGCUGACGAAUACUAAUCGAUCGAAGACUUAAUCAAA